rnacentral:tRNA from 1 species
CCGCCCAUAGCUCAGUUGGUAGAGCACCUGCCUUUUAAGCAGAGGGUCGCAGGUUCGAUUCCUGCUGGGCGGA